GCUUGAAUGAUGAUCUGUCUUUAGUCGGAUACCCCUUCACUCUCCAAUGAGUGAGAUCUUCAUCCUGACAAGC